ensembl:lncRNA
AGCUGUGGUAAGCACAAUUUAUAACCUGUGGGCAAUGGCUUCAGUGUUAAGGAAAAAUCAAUGCUUAUGUGCUGAAGAUAGUCAUCUUCCAAAGCUUGUAGUAGUAAGUUCACAUGGGAGUCUGAGUGAUUGGAGACAAGCCCUGUGCAGAGGGAUCUGACAGUUCUGGUUGACAGUACGCUGAAUGUGAAGCAGUAAGAUGCCCUGUCAUCCAAGAGGACAAACCAGAUUUUGAGUUUCAUCAUGAAAGACAGAAAACAGAAUCAUCACAAAUAAAUUUUUCCUCAUGGCAGUGAAAAAAAUGGUGAAAGAGAAAUAAUGUACAAUAUACUCUAAUUCCUUCAUUACAAGAAGAUUUGAUUAUAAACUUCAGAGAAUGAUUUGAUGUUUCUGGACAUCAACAAUUUUGAGAUUAUUCAGAUAUUCUCUGUCAGUGUUUCUUAUCAACUCUCUACACAACUAUAUGACUGAUUAACAAAUGAGAAUCCCUCAGUCUUCCCACAUAUGUGCUAUGGAGUCAAGAAUCUCUUCAUUUCAGUAAGACUUAAGAUUACAACCACACAAGUUUGUAGAGCAAAUGAAUCCUUGUGAGAAGCCAAAUCUGAUGAAGUUUAAUCUUCUUUCUUUUGGACUUCUUGCUGUGCAUUAUCUGAAAUAGAUAUGAGAAGGGAGUGAAAUGCAUAAAUGCAUCCUUAGGAAGUUUUCGACCAUACUAAACUGGCAAGUGUUGUUGACUCUCUGGAGGAUUGACAGUCCUUGCAGAAGGAUCUAGAGAGCUUGGAGAAAAGGACUAUCAUCAAUGACGUGAAGUACUACAAUGACAAAUGCCAUGUUUUUCACCUGGGAUGGAGUAAUUAUGUAUUACAGAUUGGGAGAUGAGUGGCUGGAGAGCAGCUUAGCAGAAAGGGAUGAAAUCAUAAGCCUCAUGGAUGAGGAAAGAAGGAGUGGAUAUUGUCUUCCCGAAUUCACUGAGACUUUUAACCCUGUCCUCUGUCAUUAAAUCAUAGAGAAUCUGUAAAUCUACAGAUUGAAUCAGCAGACAAUAAAAUGGAUUUGAAACUGUAUGAAAAUCUGGAUCCAUAGGGUAGUUGUCAACAGUGUGAAGUCUAGUUGGAGGGUGGUAAUGAGCAAAACAUCUUAGGAAUCAUUAGUGGGUCAAAUCCUGUUGAAUAUCUUGAUUAAUGAUCUAGGCAAUGAGGUAGAACACAUCCUUAGUAAUUUCACUGCUGAUAAAUAAAUAAAUAAAUAAAUAAGAAUAGAGGGAAUUCUAGAGAGAGAGUUCACUGGAGUGCCACAAAG